GAUUUCUGGCUUGAUACAUUUUGCCGGCCACGGUUUCGUGUGUUAGUGCUUUAUGUUCUGGCCAUCCUUCCAAUCGCUGCUCACUUUUCUUCAUUGAUUGGUGAGUGGUAUUGGAUCUUUUACUUUGAAAAAAUUAGAGUGUUUCAAGCAGGCUUACUUGCUUUGAAUACAUUAGCAUGGAAUAAUAAUUUAGGGCUUCGGUUCUAUUUUGUUGGUUUCUAGGACUGAAGUAAUGAUUGAUAGGGAUAGUUGGGGGUGCUAGUAUUCAGCGGCCAGAGGUGAAAUUCUCGGAUUCGCUGAAGACUAACUUAUGCGAAAGCAUU
rnacentral:rRNA from 1 species